GUCUUGGUGUCUAUAGACUGGGAUCGCAUCCUGCUGCCUCCGUUCCUUCGACUCGUGCCGCUGCCGCCGACUGCCGCCUCGUCGUGUCCAGCUGCUCGUGGAGGGCCCAGUUCGCCGUCGAGUCGUAGGAGGGCGAGGCAAAGGCGCCAGCAAAGAAAAACACCGGAAGUAAUAACUGGUUAGAGAUGGAACUUUCAACUUUCCCUCGCACGUAGGUGAGGUGAGGUCGGUGUUUUUUCCUACGGAGGGAACGGAUCACGUUGAACAACUUUCGAGAGGCCGCCGAAGUGAAGGACCGCGGAACGAGAGGAUAGCGACUAAGAAGACCGACCCAACGAAGAAUAGUGCUGACGGCGCGCUAACGGCGAAACGAGAAGGUGAUGACAGGCGCUGAGGUCAUGAGCAAAACCAAAAUGAACGCGCUAAGACCUCUCCCCCGUAUUGAGCAAACACUAGUUCGAGUAGAAAGAACUUGACUAAAGACCUUUCUGUCCUCUAGGUGCCCAUGAUGAGCGGCCUGCAUUGAUAUUACCCGGCGGUUCGAUCACAACGUGCUUUACUGGAGCUCGUAUACGAUAGAGUACUUUUGCUCGACGGUUUCCGGACCGGUAAUAGUGAAAACCUUCUGUAAUGCCUACCAAAGAGAUUCUUGGUAGUUUAACCGUCGCCACCCAAACGUCACCAAAUGUUCCCUUACGAACUUUUACCCUGACAACGACACUUCUUCAACGAACUUUCAGAACUAUAAGGACUAUUAUUUAAGUUACUUCUUUAAGUAACAAACUACUCCCAUUUCGUGUUGUUGUAUCAGGCCAAAAACCCUAUAACACGAUUGUAUGUUCCGGUUUACCUUUUGAUGUUACCUCUAAAACAGUACCGUCUAUAUGUAGUUUCCAACGAAACGAAACGAAACUCAUACAUGGAUUUCCUUCAGAAGUACUCAUAUAGUUUCUAUGUAGAAGAUCUGAACUGACCUAUUUCUCGAUAGUCUAUUAUUUCCCAUAAACACUCCCAAAUGUAAUGGAAGUGGUCUUAACGUAACAAGUGAAUCUAGAGUUCGGUCGUUUGUAAGACAACCUACUGUUGUACUGUGGUUUUUAACGACUGAAACCAGACAGUUCCACGAAGCUACUUUUCGUUUCGGUUCAAUAAUGGCUUUUAUACCGACCUUGUAACCCCAUAUACCGUGGUCUCAAAGUAUCUCCUCUGUUUACGUGCUAGUGUAUGGUUAGUCUGUAUAUAUCAGAACCACAGUAUUAAUAUCUCUACGACUGUCCUUUCUUCACCAUAGGCCCUAUAGGACUACAACUAUUACCAUGAGAGCGGGGUGCCUUGACGAUUACUCAGCGGUUCGGUCACGACGUGCCUUACUGGAACUCGUGUACGAUAGAGUACUUUUGCUUGUCGGUUUCCGGAACGUUAAUAGUGAAAACCUUCUAUAGUGUCUACCAAAGAAACUCUUGGCAGUUUAACCGUCGCCACCCAAACGCCACCAAAUAUUCCCUCUCGAACUCUUACCCUAGCAACGAUACUUCUUCGACAAACUUUCCGAACUAUAAGGGGUUUUAUUUAAGUUGCCUCUCUAAGCGACAAACUACUUCCACUUCGUGUUUUAAUAUCAUACAAAAAACCCUAUAACACGUUUGUACAUUCCGCUUUGCCAUCCGAUGCUACCUCUAAAACAGUACCGUCUACAUGCAGUUUCCAACGAGACGAAACUCAUACAUGUAUUUCCUUCAGAACUACCCUUGUAGUUUCCAUUCUAGUACACCGGACGUUGAAAACAAAGGUAAAAUAGAUAGAUUGUAAUGUUUAGACUCAUCCUCCGUUGACGUGGCACCGAACCCUGCGCCAUACGUACGGGUUUACCCGUCCACCUAACCCCUAGGGUUUGGAUCUCACCGAGUUAUUCCGAAACACUCGUUCCACCUCGAACCAACGUUUCCCGCCUGUCUUCGUCCGGUACCAGGCUCAAGAUGUAGGACGCCGCCUCCGAAACCUUAACCAUACUCGUCGCCGAAUGUUAUACCACCCGUUACCGUCUAGAUGCAUGGGAGAAGACCCUUUUAUCUACCUAGUUACCAAACUCCUAAGUCCUCUAACGUGGCUACCACGUGCUUAACUAUGGCCUAGCCUGGUUCUCUAGUUUCAACCAAAGACUACGCGACGAUUUACUGUCGACCCGUCCGCUGUAGCCGGGGUUGAAUAGUGAGGUUCGCGAAGUCCUCAAAAACGCCGACACCGGCGACCAGUGAGUUGAUUGUCUACUGCAGCUCCUGCACCACUGUACCAGCACCCUUUUCUUGCCGGUCAUGAGCCGAUCUAGUCGAAUACGCCGGUCUAAGUACCCCGAACACCAGAGGAGCUGUAGCCGUAAGUGGACCUUCAGCUCCCGUGGGAACGUCACGGCAAAGAAGCGUACCGAUCGGGAGUUCUUGCCUACGACCUGCAGGCUAGCAAACCGGGCGGCGCCUGAUGGUGUUGUUCUGUGUACGGGGGAUACGUUGGUUGUACUCCUUUGAUAGGUUGUAGACGAACACUUGACACAGAAACGUUUCGUCCAGACAGUAAGCUACCCCCUCUUAGUACCCGUCCGAUCUUAAACUUGGGGGUCUACCACUUCCGGAGCUGCUUACCACAAGAUCUGUCCUAGUUUCGGGUCACGUGGCGUUUAACUGAGCCCAUUUUAGGGAGGAACCCUACACCUACAACACCUUCGUGGCCUUACUGUAGCACAAGUUGCCACGGUGUGGCAGAGAUGGACGUUAAAACGAAUCUUAAUCUCUCCUCCCUUAAGAUACCCGCUUCUGACCGGAGUACUUUCCGUUGUGGAAACGAAAACUCCGCCUACUGCCAUCCGGUCUGUGGACUCCACAUCAUCAUCGAUCAAGCAGGCCACCACAGCCUACUGGGGCUAUACAUUAAUAACAACAUUGGCACCUAAAUCCUCCGAAGGGAAAAGAAGAAAUUACUUACUAUACGUGUGAGCACGCAUAAGCUCUUUUUUUUCAUAAAGUUAGAAGUAUAUACAGUUUAUACUUCUACCUAGCCACCUUCUGCCGCCGCCGCUAGAGACUCUUACACAGCCUGGCCACACACGGGGUCUGGGUCAUACUCAGAACCAACCCCGGAAGCCGAAAUGUACAAUCCUAAACCACGCUCCAGACAAACUAUAAGCCGAGCCCGGCCCCCAGUAGGAGGAAAAGGUUUUUUUUAUACAGUUUAUAAUUGUGGAAUGAAAGAGUUAAGAGAGAGGAAAUAUCUACGUAGAAUACCUGUACUGAUCUAUUUCUGGAUACACUAUCAUUUACCAUAGACACUUCCAAAUGUAAUGGAAGUGGUCUUAGAAUAACAAGUGAACCUAGAGUUCGGGGGUUUAUAAUACGACCUACCGUUAUACUACGGUUUUUAAUGACUGAAACCCGAUAGUUCCACGAAGCUACUUUUCGUUUCGGCUCAAUAAUGGUGUUUAUACCGACCGUGUAACAUCCAACCGUUUUGGAGAACUCAAUAGGAAAAACAAAAUAAAUCUUUAACAAAGGAAAAAGAAAAAGAGUAUGCAAAUAUACUGAUUUAAAAAUACGUCCCCUAUAUAUCGUGGUCUCAAAGUACCACCUCUGUAUAUGUGCUAGUGUAUGUUCAGUCUGUAUAUAUCAGAACCACAGUAUUAAUAUCUCUACAACUAUCCUUUCUUCACAAUAGAUCGUAUAGGACUACAACUAUUACAUACUUGUUAUGAACGCUGAUAAGGUACUAUUUACGAUCUGG
rnacentral:rRNA from 1 species